CCGGGCAGGUGGGGCUCGUUAGCCGUGGUAGGCAAUCUGCCUAGGAGAGCAAACUCCGAACAACAAACCCGGGCAGGUGAGGUUCGUUAGCCGUGGUAGGCAAUUCACCUAGGAGAGCAAACUCCGAACAAUAAACCCGGGCAGGUUGGGCUCGUGAGCCGUCAUAGGUAAUACACCUAGGAGAGCAAACUCCGAACAAUAAACCCGGGCAGGUGGAGGUCGUUAGCGAAAGCAAUUCAUCUAGGAGAGCAAACUCCGAUUACAAACCCGGGCAGGUGGAGGUCGUUAGCGAAAGCAAUUCAUCUAGGAGAGCAAACUCCGAUUACAAACCCGGGCAGGUGGAG